GAUGAACGCUGGCGGCGUGCCUAAUACAUGCCAGUCGAGCGAACGGACGAGAAGCUUGCUUCUCUGAUGUUAGCGGCGGACGGGUGAGUAACACGUGGAUAACCUACCUAUAUGACUGGGAUAACUUCGGGAAACCGGAGCUACUACCGGAUGAUAUUUUGAACCGCAUGGUUCAAAAGUGAAAGACGGUCUUGCUGUCACUUAUAGAUGGAUCCGCGCUGCAUUAGCUAGUUGGUAAGGUAACGGCUUACCAAGGCAACGAUGCAUAGCCGACCUGAGAGGGUGAUCGGCCACACUGGAACUGAGACACGGUCCAGACUCCUACGGGAGGCAGCAGUAGGGAAUCUUCCGCAAUGGGCGAAAGCCUGACGGAGCAACGCCGUGUGAGUGAUGAAGGUCUUCGGAUCGUAAAACUCUGUUAUUAGGGAAGAACAUAUGUGUAAGUAACUGUGCACAUCUUGACGGUACCUAAUCAGAAAGCCACGGCUAACUACGUG
rnacentral:rRNA from 1 species